rnacentral:rRNA from 1 species
GACGAACGCUGGCGGCGUGCUUAACACAUGCAAGUCGAACGGAAAGGCCCUGCUUUUGUGGGGUGCUCGAGUGGCGAACGGGUGAGUAACACGUGAGUAACCUGCCCUUGACUUUGGGAUAACUUCAGGAAACUGGGGCUAAUACCGGAUAGGAGCUCCUGCUGCAUGGUGGGGGUUGGAAAGUUUCGGCGGUUGGGGAUGGACUCGCGGCUUAUCAGCUUGUUGGUGGGGUAGUGGCUUACCAAGGCUUUGACGGGUAGCCGGCCUGAGAGGGUGACCGGCCACAUUGGGACUGAGAUACGGCUCAGACUCCUACGGGAGGCAGCAGUGGGGAAUAUUGCACAAUGGGCGGAAGCCUGAUGCAGCAACGCCGCGUGCGGGAUGACGGCCUUCGGGUUGUAAACCGCUUUCGCCUGUGACGAAGCGCGAGUGACGGUAAUGGGUAAAGAAGCACCGGCUAACUACGUG